AGAGGAGACUCCAUCCCAGAUAAAGUGGGCACCAUUAAGUUGAAGAGAGCAGUAACGCUCCAACCCAUGAGUGAGCAUCUGGUGUGGGGCCGCCUACCCCCAAAGA